rnacentral:lncRNA from 1 species
AUUUGUUCAUAAAAGAGUAAAUUAAUAUUAUUUAAGAUAUUUUUGGGGGGUUACAUGUAAUAACCCUCUUUCUAUUUAUUGUUAUGUUACAAGCCAUUUCCAUAAAUACAUGGGGAAAAAAAAGUUAUGAACUUAACGAAGUGACAUCUUUCACUGAAAACACGUGGGAGCUGAAAGCUAGUAUGUUCUACCACAGGUUUCAAAGUUUAAGUUACUUCACUCUGUUGUGUUCAUAUUUUGAUUCUGAAUGCAGUUGAUAUGGCUUCUCAAUGUGAAAUUUUUUUCAAAUCUGUCAAAGUUUCCAAGUUUAAGUUACCUUUCCACUCCAGCUUUUCAGCAUUAUUUUCACGGAAUUUCUGCAUGCUUUGUCUUGAAAAACUCAACACAACUCUUUGCCUGAUAUUCGGAUGGCUCUGCUUUAAAAUUGAGACUGAAGAUAAACUUGUAUGCAUGACUUGGGUAUAU